AUAUAUAUAUAUAAAGUGUCUUCAAAAUUUGCCCACUAAUAAGGCCUUUCUGGCUGCAUUACAGCAGAAUGUUAAGCAUAUGUUAACAGCAAACUGUUUAUCGAAUUGUAAUUGCAAUUUGCACAAUUUGAAAAUUCCAUAAUUAGAACAAUGCAAAGCCACACCACACCAGACAGACAAACAGACAGACACAGCCCUGGCUCAAAUACAACGCAAAGCGCGCCGCUGUGGUGAAAUUUGUGAUUCAAAUUUAUAUGCGUUAAGGAAUACAUGAAAAGCUAACAUUGAAAAGCAAUAUUUAAGUUUGCUGUUAAACAAUUAUGUAUAAAAUAUAUAUAUGUAUAUUAUAUACAUAUAUAUUUAUACAUGAUAUUGAACAAUUGAAAACCAACAUUUUGCGCCUUCCACAUAAAUCCACUACGUGUAUUCCGAAUCACAUGCAAAGAAAC